rnacentral:sRNA from 1 species
CUCUUUCCCUGCCGCCGCCGAGUCGCGCGGAGGCGGAGGCUUGGGUGCGUUCAAGAUUCAGCUUCGCCCGUAACCCACCGCCAUGGCCGAGGAAGGCAUUGCUGCUGGAGGUGUAAUGGACGUUAAUACUGCUUUACAAGAGGUUCUGAAGACCGCCCUCAUCCACGAUGGCUUAGCACGUGGAAUUCGCGAAGCUGCCAAAGCCUUAGACAAGUACGUGUAUCAGUCUCAAUACUGUGGGUUCUUGCAGCCGGAACAAAACUGCCACCCAAGGGAAGAAGGCAUGGAGUUCAUGGUGUUAGCGCAAAAGUUCUGAAUGGCAUCCGUCCUACCGGAAACCUAGGAAAAGGCGCCAAGCCCAUCUUUGUGUGCUUGCAUCCAACUGUGAUGAGCCUAUGUAUGUCAAGUUGGUGGAAGCGCUUUGUGCUGAACACCAAAUCAACCUGAUUAAGGUUGAUGACAACAAGAAACUAGGAGAAUGGGUAGGCCUCUGUAAAAUUGACAGAGAGGGGAAACCCCGUAAAGUGGUUGGUUGCAGUUGUGUAGUAGUUAAGGACUAUGGCAAGGAGUCUCAGGCCAAGGAUGUCAUCGAAGAGUAUUUCAAAUGCAAGAAAUGAAAUAAAUCUUUGACUCACA